rnacentral:rRNA from 1 species
CCCUUAGAUGCUCUGGGCCGCACGCGCGCUACACUGACGAAGUCAGCGAGCAUGUCCUACGCCGACAGGUGCGGGGAAUCUUGUCAAACUUCGUCGUGAUGGGGAUUGAUUAUUGAAAUUCUUGAUCAUCAACGAGGAAUUCCUAGUAAGCGCAAGUCAGCAGCUUGCGUUGAUUACGUCCCUGCCCUUUGUACACACCGCCCGUCGCUACUACCGAUUGAAUGGUUUAGUGAGAUCUUCGGAUUGGCGCCACUGCGGCUCAGCAAUGGGCUCGGUGGAUGCCGAAAAGUUGAUCAAACUUGAUCAUUUAGAGGAAGUAAAAGUCGUAACA